rnacentral:rRNA from 1 species
GAAGCUGGCACCUCCGGUGUCCGCGUUGUAAUCUCGAGACGUGUUUUCCGUGCGGCUCUAUGGACAAGUCCCUUGGAAAUAGGGCAUCGUAGAGGGUGAGAAUCCCGUACUUGCCAUGGAAGAACCGUGCUUUGCGAUACACGCUCUAAGAGUCGAGUUGUUUGGGAUUGCAGCUCAAAAUGGGUGGUAGACUCCAUCUAAAGCUAAAUAUCGGGGAGAGACCGAUAGCGAACAAGUACCGUGAGGGAAAGAUGAAAAGCACUUUGGAAAGAGAGUUAAAAGUACGUGAAAUUGUCGAAAGGGAAGCACUUGAAGUCAGCCAUGCUGCUUGAGACUCAGCCUGGCCUUUGGGCUUGGUGUAUUUCUCGGUGGCAAGCCAGCAUUGGUUUGGGUCGUCGGAGAAGCGCAUAGGGAAUGUAGCGUCUCCGGACGUGUUAUAGCCUUAUGCAGGAUACGACGACCUGGAUCAAGGAACGCAGUGUGCC